GAUGAACGCUGGCGGCGUGCCUAAUACAUGCAAGUCGAGCGAACAGACGAGGAGCUUGCUCCUCUGACGUUAGCGGCGGACGGGUGAGUAACACGUGGAUAACCUACCUAUAAGACUGGGAUAACUUCGGGAAACCGGAGCUAAUACCGGAUAAUAUAUUGAACCGCAUGGUUCAAUAGUGAAAGACGGUUUUGCUGUCACUUAUAGAUGGAUCCGCGCCGCAUUAGCUAGUUGGUAAGGUAACGGCUUACCAAGGCAACGAUGCGUAGCCGACCUGAGAGGGUCAUCGGCCACCCUGGCACUGAGACACGGUCCAGACUCCUACGGGAGGCAGCAGUAGGGAAUCUUCCGCAAUGGGCGAACGCUUGACGGAGCAACGCCGCGUGAGUGAUGAAGGUCUUCGGAUCGUAAAACUCUGUUAUUAGGGAAGAACAAAUGUGUAAGUAACUAUGCACGUCUUGACGGUACCUAAUCAGAAAGCCACGGCUAACUACGUG
rnacentral:rRNA from 1 species